rnacentral:misc_RNA from 1 species
AGUCUCCGGCGGUGCAGAUUAUUCCGGUGGAAGUAGGCCGGAAACUGGAACCGGAAGUUUUGCGUUUAGUAGUUCCCAUGCCGGAAGUGUACCGAAAAAGAGCAAGAUGAUUUAAAACGACGAAACGCUUACAUAUUGUCGGAGUCUACAUUAGAAGAUACCAUUUGUGUUGGAAAACCAAUAAACAGACAUGCAGGGAAUCAGCUAUAACACAUUCUGUCUUUUAAUUGAGAAUUGAACUAGUCUAUAAAAUUAUGUCUAGAACCACACGAGGAUAAGAUGGGCGCUUGCUAUUCUACAGAAAAAUGCACACCAAUCACCGCUCUUGUAACAUAUCAAUAUUCCUUAAACAACUCGAAUGGAUUUAGGACGAACAAAUUGCUUUGUUAAUUAAUUGCUUUAGCUGUAUAAAGGGGAGGCUUUCGCGAAGUUCAGUUACAAAAUUGUGUCGGUUCAAAAUUUCAGAGGGAAUAUUUUCCUCUACAAUAUUGAUCUAUGAAAAAAAAGAUUUAAGUGACAUGUAAAACUCCAGGGCCAGUGAAAUAAUUAUAUUUAUCAAUAUCACCAAUGUACUCAUGUAACCAUUAAAUGAGGUUAUUACCUUUUG